rnacentral:lncRNA from 1 species
CAGGAAGGAUACACACCGACUUUAGGAUAGCAGUGACCUCUGGUGAGAGAGGGAAACCAGAAGAUUCUGUAAUUGUAGUAAUACACGUCUUUUAAAAAGGAAUUGAAUGUGGUAAAAUGCUGAUAUUUGUUAAAACUGGGUGGUGAUAACUUAUUUUUCAUAUUGUUCUCUGUACUGUAAAGUAUACUUGAAACAUUCAUGAUUUUUAAAUAAUUAAAUAAGGAAAUCUAAAAUUAAUCAGCGGGAACAAUGAAUGUGCUCUGAUAAGGAUAGAAAUCCGGAGUUGGAGGUUAUGGAUGUCAGUUUCAGUUUUACAUUAGUGUCAGAAUCUAUUUCUAUAUUUUGUUAUUGUUUCACAGCAUCGAGUAAUUCUUGAUUCACAGGAACACAGUCCUUGCAAACAAGCUAUGAAGCUAGGAGCCCAGAGCUGACCUCAGCUGUCUCUCUCACCACGCAGAGAAGCCUGCUCACAGUGAGAGAGUACACAGUGAUUCUCAGAGAGAGUUUCCCAAUCUCUCCUGAAUUUCUCAUCUCUUCAUCCAGUAUAUGCAUCUUUUACUGUAGACUCUUCAACAUGUUUAUCAAAGUCAUUUUAAAGUCCUUGUCGGCUAAUUCUGGC